AUAAAAACAACUUUCACUUCUUCCUAUUGUAAUCGUGUGCCAUGGAUCUGAUCUGUACCAUGACCCUACAUAAGGCUGGAUGGCACCUCAGGCUGAGGGCCCCAAUGUAUGUGUGGCUGUGGGUGUGGGUGGGAGUGUGUCUGCUGAGUAAGGAACACGAUUUUCAAGAUUCUAAAGCUCAAUUCAAGUGACACAUUAAUGAUAAACUCAGAUCUGAUCAAGAGUCCGGAUUUCUAACAGUCCUUGCUUUGGGGGGUGUGCUGACAACUUAGCUCAGGUGCCUUACAUCUUUUCUAAUCACAGUGUUGCAUAUGAGCCUGCCCUCACUCCCUCUGCAGAAUCCCUUUGCACCUGAGACCCUACUGAAGUGGCUGGUAGAAAAAGGGGCCUGAGUGGAGGAUUAUCAGUAUCACGGAGUCAUAUUUUGUGACCUGUAGUUAACUUUCCGUGCUGCAGGCAAAGCGCUGAUUCUUGUACACUGACUUUGGAACAAAUGCCACAGGCCCUAAUUGCAGGCUCCAAGGAGUUGAGAUUCCAUACUGGGGUUGCUGGAGGCAGAAGCCUUCCCACUUUCAGGACCCGGACCUGCCCUUCCCCCACGCGGUCCCGCCCAGCCAGCUACACCCUGGCCACAGAGCGCUCACAAGCUUUGGUGAGCCACAAUCACACCACUGUAGUCCCGCCUGGGUAACAGAGCGAGACUGUCUCAAAAAAAAAAAAAGGGGGGGGAAGGUUUAUGAGGGACCUUGGUAGCUGACUUAGAAUAUGACACAAAUGAGGAAAUAAACCUAUUCCUUAUUGUCCAGAGGGUUGAAUAAAGGAAUAAAACUAUGUGGGAAUGAGAGCAAGCAUGGCUAUGGACAGGAAGGCAGCUCAAAUAACUUGAGCUGUUCUACAGUGUCUUGGGAGGAAUAAGCUGCUUCUCUCACCAUAUUUGUUCAACUCGUCCAAGAUUCUGUAAAC
rnacentral:lncRNA from 1 species